UGUGUAACAACUCACCUGCCGAAGCAAGCGGCCCUGAAAAUGGAUUCCGCUUAAGCAUGGUGCCGAUGCCCGACCGCUGAAUCAGAAAUGACUUCCCCAGGACAUAUAUGAUUCAGUGAGUAGGUGGUGUGUGGUGGUUUGCUUUGAAGGGUCUGGGUGUGAACCUGCCUUGAGCGGCCACGGGUACAGAUCUUGGUGGUAGUAGCAAUUACUCGAGUGGGAACCUCGAGGUCUGAUUGUGGAGAAGGGUUCCAUGUGAACAGCAAUUGAACAUGGGUUAGUCGGUCCUAAGGCGUAAGAGAAAUCUGUCUAAAGGUGUAGGCUUUUUAAUUAAAGUUACAGCCUCUGCACAGCUGAAAGGGAAUGCGGUUAAAAUUCUGCAACCUGGACGUGGAUAACCCCGUUUGGGGUGUUGGGGCCCUUGUGACCUACGCCGUGAGGCAAACAAACUUGGGGACGCUGAACACUGCUCCGGGCAGAGUUGUCUGUUCUGCUUAAGGGCCUGGAUCCCUGGAAUUGGCUCAGCCAGAGAAAGGGAACUGGUGCCUGAAGAGCCCCGCAGCUCUCGUGGGGUCCGAUGGGUAGUGUUUGGCCCUUGAAAACCUGAGGAAGGGUGUACUGAUUUUCAUGCCAGGCCGUACCCAUAUCCGCAGCAGGUCUCCGAGGUGAAAAGCCUCUGGACUCUAGGUUAAUGUAGGUAAGGGAAAUCGGCAAACUGGAUCCGUAACUUCGGGAUAAG
rnacentral:rRNA from 1 species